rnacentral:rRNA from 1 species
UAGUGGCGAACGGGUGAGUAACACGUGGGCAAUCUGCCCUUCACUCUGGGACAAGCCCUGGAAACGGGGUCUAAUACCGGAUAACACUCUGUCCCGCAUGGGACGGGGUUGAAAGCUCCGGCGGUGAAGGAUGAGCCCGCGGCCUAUCAGCUUGUUGGUGGGGUGAUGGCCUACCAAGGCGACGACGGGUAGCCGGCCUGAGAGGGCGACCGGCCACACUGGGACUGAGACACGGCCCAGACUCCUACGGGAGGCAGCAGUGGGGAAUAUUGCACAAUGGGCGAAAGCCUGAUGCAGCGACGCCGCGUGAGGGAUGACGGCCUUCGGGUUGUAAACCUCUUUCAGCAGGGAAGAAGCGAGAGUGACGGUACCUGCAGAAGAAGCGCCGGCUAACUACGUGCCAGCAGCCGCGGUAAUACGUAGGGCGCAAGCGUUGUCCGGANUUAUUGGGCGUAAAGAGCUCGUAGGCGGCUUGUUGCGUCGGUUGUGAAAGCCCGGGGCUUAACCCCGGNUCUGCAGUCGAUACGGGCAGGCUAGAGUGUGGUAGGGGAGAUCGGAAUUCCU